AUUGGACGCUGGCGGCAUGGUUAAAACAUGCAAGUCGAACGCGAACGGGGCUUCGGCCCCUAUUAGAGUGGCGAACGGGCGAGUAAUGCGUUUCUAACGUGCCCCAAGGUCAGGGACAGCCCAGGGAAACCUGGAUUAAUACCUGAUGACCCCGCCAGAUCGCAUGGUCUGGUGGGCAAAGGCUUGUCUGCCUUGGGAUCGGGAAACGUCCUAUCAUGCUUGUUGGUGAGGUAACGGCUCACCAGGGCUAACACGGGUAGCGGGUGUGAGAGCAUGACCCGCCGCAUCGGGACUGACACACUGCCCGGACUCCUACGGGAGGCUGCAGUAACGAAUAUUGGGCAAUGCGGGCAACCGUGACCCAGCAAUGCCGCGUGCAAGAUGAAGCCCCUCGGGGUGUAAACUGCUGUCAGGACCUACCAAGCUCUGAGGAGGUCCAGAGGAAGGGCCGGCUAACUUCGUGCCAGCAGCCGCGGUAAUACAAAGGGCCCGAGCGUUAAUCGGAAUUACUGGGCUUAAAGCGUGCGUACGCGCGACCCGCAAGUGUCGUGUGAAAUCCCACUGCUUUAACAGUGGAAACGGCUCGGCACACUGCGGGUCUUGAGCCUGUCAGAUGUCGUCGGAACGCUAGGUGGAGCGGUGAAAUGCGUAGAUAUCUAGCGGAACGCCAAAGGUGAAGACAGACGACUGGGACGGCGCUGACGCUGAGGCACGAAAGCGUGGGUAGCGAACGGAUUAGAUACCCCGGUAGUCCACGCCGUAAAACGAUGUGCACUAGAUCGAGGAGGUUUUGACGCCAUCUCGGUCGAAGCAAAAGUGUUAAGUGCACCGCCUGGGGAGUACGGUCGCAAGGCUAAAACUCAAAGGAAUUGACGGGGGCUCACACAAGCGGUGGAGCAUGUGGCUUAAUUCGAAGCAACGCGAAGAACCUUAUCCAAGGCUUGACAUGUAUGGAUUAACUCCCUGAAAGGGGAGCCACGCCUUUUAGGUGGAACAUACACAGGUGCUGCAUGGCUGUCGUCAGCUCGUGCUGUGAAGUGUCGGGUUAAGUCCCUUAACGAGCGAAACCCCUAUCCCUAGUUGCCAGCGAGUCAUGUCGGGGACUCUAGGGAGACUGCCGGCGUCAAGCCGGAGGAAGGUGGGGAGGACGUCAAGUCCUCAUGGCCUUUAUGCCUUGGGCUGCACACGUGCUACAAUGCCGCCGACAGAGCGAAGCGAUACCGUAAGGUGGAGCAAAUCGCACAAACGGCGGCCCAGUUCGGAUUGGGGUCUGCAACUCGACCCCAUGAAGGUGGAAUCGCUAGUAAUCGCGUAUCAGCAAUGACGCGGUGAAUAUGUUCCUGAGUCUUGUACACACUGCCC
rnacentral:rRNA from 1 species